rnacentral:lncRNA from 1 species
GUGGGAGGGAUAUGCCAUUAACUCGACAAGAACGCAUUCGAGUCGAGUAGCUCUCAAUUAAAAAUCAGUCAGUCGCAUCUACCCAACUUACCUUAGACACCAAAUUAUCGAACCAGAACUAAUUGGGUUAGCCUACAAUCCAAGCUCUAACCACUGAGUCAAAUUAGGUCUUAACUUGAUCGAGUCAUAUUUAAAUGUGAUUCGACCUUGACCCAGACUUAAUCCUAUUAGGUUGGUCAAUUAUUAGCUUUCAUGAUCCUACCUAACCAACUCUUGAUUUGGUUUGAUCAACCGCUAGACCUAAUUGAGCUAUCCAAGCCCAAACUCAAUUUUAUGAAAAUAUCUUAGAUCUAAAAUUCUCAAUUUUAGACCUAACUUAAUUUCAUAAGCUUAAUUCAUUAAUUAAGUUUGGGUUCAUAAACAAAGCAUGUAAAAUAAAUCCUAGGAUUUCAGGAUCUAGGGUUUUGCAGA